AGUGAACGCUGGCGGUAGGCCUAACACAUGCAAGUCGAACGGCAGCACAGUAAGAGCUUGCUCUUACGGGUGGCGAGUGGCGGACGGGUGAGGAAUACAUCGGAAUCUACUUUUUCGUGGGGGAUAACGUAGGGAAACUUACGCUAAUACCGCAUACGACCUACGGGUGAAAGCAGGGGAUCUUCGGACCUUUCGCGAUUGAAUGAGCCGAUGUCGGAUUAGCUAGUUGGCGGGGUAAAGGCCCACCAAGGCGACGAUCCGUAGCUGGUCUGAGAGGAUGAUCAGCCACACUGGAACUGAGACACGGUCCAGACGCCUAAGGGAGGCAGCAGUGGGGAAUAUUGGACAAUGGGCGCAAGACUGAUCCAGCCAUACCGCGUGGGUGAAGAAGGCCUUCGGGUUGUAAAGCCCUUUUGUUGGGAAAGAAAAGCAGCAGGUUAAUACCCCGCUGUGCUGACGGUACCCAAAGAAUAAGCACCGGCUAACUUCGUG
rnacentral:rRNA from 1 species